rnacentral:rRNA from 1 species
UUAAGUCAGGCAACAAGCGAGACCCACGCCCACAGUUGCCAGCGUACUCUCUGGAGUGACGGGUACACUGUGGGGACCGCCGCUGCUAAAGCGGAGGAAGGAAUGGGCAACGGCAGGUCAGUAUGCCCCGAAUGUCCCGGGCUACACGCGGGCUACAAUGGUUGGUACAAUGGGUAUCUACCCCGAAAGGGGAUGGAAAUCUCCUAAAGCCAAUCUUAGUUCGGAUCGAGGGCUGCAACUCGCCCUCGUGAAGCUGGAAUCCGUAGUAAUCGCGUUUCAAUAGAACGCGGUGAAUACGUCCCUGCUCCUUGCACA